GAUCCUGGCUCAGGAUGAACGCUGGCGGCAUGCCUAAUACAUGCAAGUCGAACGGACCGAAGGGAAAGCUUGCUUUCCCUGAAGUCAGUGGCGAACGGGUGAGUAACACGUAGGUAACCUGCCCAUGUGCCCGGGACAACGCCUGGAAACGGGUGCUAAAACCGGAUAGGUAGAGAGAUCGCAUGAACUUUCUAUUAAAGGGGCUACGGCCCUGAACAUGGAUGGACCUGCGGUGCAUUAGCUAGUUCG
rnacentral:rRNA from 1 species